GGUCUGGGAUGGACUCGCGGCCUAUCAGCUUGUUGGUGAGGUAGUGGCUCACCAAGGCGACGACGGGUAGCCGGCCUGAGAGGGCGACCGGCCACACUGGGACUGAGACACGGCCCAGACUCCUACGGGAGGCAGCAGUGGGGAAUAUUGCACAAUGGGCGGAAGCCUGAUGCAGCGACGCCGCGUGAGGGAUGACGGCCUUCGGGUUGUAAACCUCUUUCAGCAGGGAAGAAGCGCAAGUGACGGUACCUGCAGAAGAAGCACCGGCUAACUACGUGCCAGCAGCCGCGGUAAUACGUAGGGUGCGAGCGUUGUCCGGAAUUAUUGGGCGUAAAGAGCUUGUAGGUGGUUUGUCGCGUCUGCUGUGAAAAUCCGAGGCUCAACCUCGGACUUGCAGUGGGUACGGGCAGACUAGAGUGUGGUAGGGGAGACUGGAAUUCCUGGUGUAGCGGUGGAAUGCGCAGAUAUCAGGAGGAACACCGAUGGCGAAGGCAGGUCUCUGGGCCAUUACUGACACUGAGAAGCGAAAGCAUGGGGAGCGAACAGGAUUAGAUACCCUGGUAGUCCAUGCCGUAAACGUUGGGAACUAGGUGUGGGUCUCAUUCCACGAGAUCCGUGCCGCAGC
rnacentral:rRNA from 1 species